GGAGCAGCGGCCGGGAGCCCUUAGGGAGGCAGACAGAGCCUGCAGCCAAUGCCCCAGGAGCCCUCGGUUCCAACCGAUGCCCCAGUGCCCACUGGCCCACGCCAUGCAGCCCCAGUCCGUUCUGCACAGCGGCUACUUCCACCCACUACUUCGGGCCUGGCAGACAGCCACCACCACCCUCAAUGCCUCCAACCUCAUCUACCCCAUCUUUGUCACGCCCUGGGCUUGGCCAGGCAGGGAAGCCAGACACUGGAUCCCAUCCUCCUCCCACCAUCUCCACUUCCAUAUUUCUUCCCUGCUUCCCAACCACCCCUCUCAGUCGCCCCCGCACCACUGGCCCUUCCCACAGCUACCAAUCCAUAUCCCACCCCCGCUCUUGCAGGGAUGUUCCUGAUGACAUACAGCCUAUCACCAGCCUCCCAGGAGUGGCCAGGUAUGGUGUGAACCGGCUGGAAGAGAUGCUGAGGCCCUUGGUGGAAGAGGGCCUACGCUGUGUCUUGAUCUUUGGCGUCCCCAGCAGAGUUCCCAAGGACGAGCGGGGUUCCGCAGCUGACUCUGAGGAGUCCCCAGCUAUUGAGGCAAUCCAUCUGUUGAGGAAGACCUUCCCCAACCUCCUGGUGGCCUGUGACGUCUGCCUGUGUCCCUACACCUCCCAUGGUCACUGCGGGCUCCUGAGUGAAAAUGGAGCAUUCCGGGCUGAGGAGAGCCGCCAGCGGCUGGCUGAGGUGGCAUUGGCGUAUGCCAAGGCAGGAUGUCAGGUGGUAGCCCCGUCGGACAUGAUGGAUGGACGCGUGGAAGCCAUCAAAGAGGCCCUGAUGGCACAUGGACUUGGCAACAGGGUAUCGGUGAUGAGCUACAGUGCCAAAUUUGCUUCCUGUUUCUAUGGCCCUUUCCGGGAUGCGGCUAAGUCAAGCCCAGCUUUUGGGGACCGCCGCUGCUACCAGCUGCCCCCUGGAGCACGAGGCCUGGCUCUCCGAGCGGUGGUGAGUGACUAGGACUUGAGCCCCACCCUCAGCCCCCUCCUAGGCACCACCCACACUAUACCCUCAUCCCUUAGGACCGGGAUGUACGGGAAGGAGCUGACAUGCUCAUGGUGAAGCCGGGAAUGCCCUACCUGGACAUCGUGCGGGAGGUAAAGGACAAGCACCCUGACCUCCCUCUCGCCGUGUACCACGUCUCUGGAGAGUUUGCCAUGCUGUGGCAUGGAGCCCAGGCCGGGGCAUUUGAUCUCAAGGCUGCCGUACUGGAGGCCAUGACUGCCUUCCGCAGAGCAGGUGCUGACAUCAUCAUCACCUACUACACACCACAGCUGCUACAGUGGCUGAAGGAGGAAUGAUGGAGACAGUGCCAGGCCCAAGAACUAGAACUUUAAAAUGUUCCCGGGGCCUCAGACAAGUGAAAACCAAAGUAAAUGCUGCUUUUAGAACUGUGCCCUCAUGCCCUCUUCCUGCUCACAUGCUAGCGGGGCCCAGCAGCCCUGGGUGGUUUUGCCAGCAUGCUAACUCUUGCAACUCGCAGCUGCAUCCUAUGAGCUCUCCCAAGCUUCCCCGCCCCUCCCCUGGGUCAGCCGUGAGGCUCACCUUUGCCACCCUCAGCUCUUUCCUCUGGUGUGGCUUCAGCUUGAAAGCAACCUGGAGUCGGGGGCACAGCCUUUGGGGCCUGGCUGGGAGAGGGUCUUGGAGCAUUAGGGGAAGAAGAGAGCAGUGGGAUCUUGGGGCCUGAGAAGCCUUGGAACGCUUCUGGCAGCAGAGCUGGGUGUGGGAAUGAGGCCUAGAUCGAUAUCCCUGGGUUAGAGUUGAAAUUUGCUGCAAUUCCACUGGAAGGCAUUUCCCACGAGGCCAGAGGUUGCCAGGCUGCCCGAGGUCUCCUAUUCUACUCUGAACCAUAAACCCAGAGAAGAAUUACUCAUUAACCAGCAUAAAUACUGCCUGAGGAUCAAAACUCAGAGGCAAAGAGGGAGUUCCUGACUGCUAGAGAUGCCGCCACCACAAACACUUUUUAUUUAGGAGAUACUUUUUGAGAAUCUCUGCUCUGUUCCUAGGUUCAGUGCUGGGUCCUGGGAAUACAGCAGGACAGACCUCAGCUUAUCUCUUCAUAGAAAUUAUACAAAGAGAAUAGGGGAGACAGCUAAGAAGAAAACAAAGAAAUAAAGCAGUUACAAAUUGUGAUAAGUGCUUCAAAGGAAAGAAGGGGUCUGAGACAAAGAACAACAGGGAAGGGGCCUCUCUUGAAACAGUAGUUGGGAAGGAGGCAGACAUGCACCAGUGAUGUGGUGACAGGUGCUGUGAAGGAGGUCACCAGGACCUGACCUCUUUGAAGGAUCAGAAAAUACUUCCCUGAAGGACUGACACUUGAGCCUAGACCUGAAGGGUGAGCCAUCAAGCUAAGACAAUUGGGGAAGAGCAUUCCAGGGAGAGGGAGGAGUUGUGCAAAGGCCCUGGGGCUCCUUCUAGCUGGAGGAAUGCAAGGCUAGCUUGUCUGGAGCACUGAGAGGAUGGCCUGAACUGAGUGGAGAGAGACAGACCAGGACCAAACCAUGCAGAGGUCAAGGGCCACAUUCACCUUUUCAGAGUGACUCAAUCAAAUCUGUAGUUUGUAAAAGUAUUUUAACAGCUCUGCGGCAAAGUGCAAAUGAAAAGUCUUGAUGGCAUGGACUGGAGCGGGGACAGUGGGGAUGGAGAAAGGGGAAUGGAUUGUGGAUGUGUUUAGAAGGUAGAUUAGAUGUGAGGGAUGAAUCUGGCUUGACCUUCUGGGUGGCUGAUGGGCCAUUUACUGAGAUGGGGCAGCCUGGAAGAGGAACAGAAGCAGGGUCGGGGUGGAGGGAGAAUACUAAACUUAGCUUGAGACAUUUUGCAAUAAGGAAGCUAUAUCUAGAGUGCUUAUGUGACUCACCUAAGGCCACUCAACAAGUUUGUGGCAGAACUGGAUUAGAACCGCACAGAAAACAGCCAAGCUGGAAUUUGAACCCAUGUAGUCCAACUCCAAGGCCUCUGCCCCUAACCACUGUGCCAUACCACCUCCCAAUAAUCAACAGCAAAAUUAUAGGUCUAACAAUGUUUUACAGACACCCCUCCAUUUAUGCGAUGGGUUUGCAUCCUGAUAAACCCAUCAUAAGUUGAAAAUAUGAUCAUAAGUCAAAAAUGUAUUUAAUAUACCUAACUUACCAAACAUCAUAGCUUAGCCUAGCCUGCCUUAAACAUGCUCAGAACACUUACAUUAGCCUACAGUGGGCAAAACUAUCCAACACAAAAUCUAUAUUGUAAUAAAGUUAUAAAGAAUUUUGAAUCAAAAUUCAGUAUUUG
rnacentral:sRNA from 1 species